ACAGAGAUGGGCGAGCAUUCUAAGGCGCUGGUUUUAGGCACCAGUCCCUUCGGAGGCGUGGGUUCGAAUCCCACUCUCAUCA
rnacentral:tRNA from 1 species